UACGUAGGGUGCAAGCGUUGUCCGGAAUUAUUGGGCGUAAAGAGCUCGUAGGCGGUUUGUCGCGUCUGCUGUGAAAACCCGAGGCUCAACCUCGGGCCGCAGUGGGUACGGGCAGACUAGAGUGCGGUAGGGGAGAUUGGAAUUCCUGGUGUAGCGGUGGAAUGCGCAGAUAUCAGGAGGAACACCAAUGGCGAAGGCAGAUCUCUGGGCCGUAACUGAGCUGAGGAGCGAAAGCAUGGGGAGCGAACAGG
rnacentral:rRNA from 1 species